rnacentral:rRNA from 1 species
AUUGAACGCUGCCGGCAGGCCUAACACAUGCAAGUCGAGCGGAAACGAUCCUAGCUUGCUAGGAGGCGUCGAGCGGCGGACGGGUGAGUAAUGCAUAGGAAUCUGCCCGGUAGUGGGGGAUAACUUGAGGAAACUCAAGCUAAUACCGCAUACGCCCUACGGGGGAAAGCAGGGGCUCUUCGGACCUUGCGCUAUCGGAUGAGCUUAUGUCGGAUUAGCUAGUUGGUGAGGUAAUGGCUCACCAAGGCGACGAUCCGUAGCUGGUCUGAGAGGAUGAUCAGCCACAUCGGGACUGAGACACGGCCCGAACUCCUACGGGAGGCAGCAGUGGGGAAUAUUGGACAAUGGGGGCAACCCUGAUCCAGCCAUGCCGCGUGUGUGAAGAAGGCCCUCGGGUUGUAAAGCACUUUCAGCGAGGAAGAAUGCUUGUCGGUUAAUACCCGGCAAGGGAGACAUCACUCGCAGAAGAAGCACCGGCUAACUCCGUGCCAGCAGCCGCGGUAAUACGGAGGGUGCGAGCGUUAAUCGGAAUUACUGGGCGUAAAGCGUGCGUAGGCGGCUUGAUAAGCCGGUUGUGAAAGCCCCGGGCUCAACCUGGGAACGGCAUCCGGAACUGUCAGGCUAGAGUGCAGGAGAGGAAGGUAGAAUUCCCGGUGUAGCGGUGAAAUGCGUAGAGAUCGGGAGGAAUACCAGUGGCGAAGGCGGCCUUCUGGACUGACACUGACGCUGAGGUACGAAAGCGUGGGUAGCAAACAGGAUUAGAUACCCUGGUAGUCCACGCCGUAAACGAUGUCGACUAGCCGUUGGGGUCCUCGAGAACUUUGUGGCGCA